CCUACGGGAGGCUGCAGUGAGGAAUAUUGGUCAAUGGGCGCGAGCCUGAACCAGCCAAGUAGCGUGAAGGAUGACUGUCCUACGGGUUGUAAACUUCUUUUGUCAAGGAAUAAAGUCAGGCACGUGUGCCUUUUUGUAUGUACCUUAUGAAUAAGGAUCGGCUAACUCCGUGCCAGCAGCCGCGGUAAUACGGAGGAUCCGAGCGUUAUCCGGAUUUAUUGGGUUUAAAGGGAGCGUAGAUGGGUUGUUAAGUCAGUGGUCAAAGUUUGGGGCUCAACCGUAAAAUGGCAAUUAAUACGGGCAGCCUUGAGUAGAGUUGAGGGAGGCGGAAUUCGUGGUGUAGCGGUGAAAUGCUUAGAUAUGACGAAGAACUCCGAUUGCGAAGGCAGACGACUAAACUGCCACUGACAUUGAUGCUCGAAAGUGUGGGUAUCAAACAGGAUUAGAUACCCGGGUAGU
rnacentral:rRNA from 1 species